UUGAAAUCCCCCAUGAUCCUCCAUUCAAAACUAGUGCCCUCUAGGCCAUCAAGCAAGAAGCGACAGUGUCAAGUGUGACAGUGAUGAAUGGUGUAGUGUGGAUGUGUGCGUCCGUCAAUCUUUCGUACCUACGCCUUUCCGUGAGGCGGCUGGAGCAGGAAAUGGCCGAGCCGUACUGCAGAGAGGAAAGGAUGGCAGGAGGUGCUGCGGUGAACACUCCCAACACGUGCAGGAGGAAAGAAAGGAUGGCAGGUGGUGCCGCGGUGAACACUCCCAACACGUGCAGGAGGAAAGUGAGUACCUGCUUCAUUACAUCAUGUGCACUCUGUUUUGGAACUCUGUUAGACUUUUUUUUUUUCUAUGUCAACCGAAACUUGUAACUGUUGCCUGCCUUUCUCCUGUCUCCUUCCCACGAAUCUGUGUAGGAAAGAAAGGAUGUGUUUUCCAUGGUAUCGUGUCAGGAAGAAUUAAUUUAAAUUUUUUU